GGGUUGUGAGGUUAAGCGACUAAGCGUACACGGUGGAUGCCCUGGCAGUCAGAGGCGAUGAAGGACGUGCUAAUCUGCGAUAAGCGUCGGUGAGGUGAUAUGAACCGUUAUAACCGGCGAUUUCCGAAUGGGGAAACCCAGUGUGUUUCGACACACUAUCAUUAACUGAAUCCAUAGGUUAAUGAGGCGAACCGGGGGAACUGAAACAUCUAAGUACCCCGAGGAAAAGAAAUCAACCGAGAUUCCCCCAGUAGCGGCGAGCGAACGGGGAGGAGCCCAGAGCCUGAAUCAGUGUGUGUGUUAGUGGAAGCGUCUGGAAAGGCGUGCGAUACAGGGUGACAGCCCCGUACACAAAAAUGCACAUAUUGUGAGCUCGAUGAGUAGGGCGGGACACGUGGUAUCCUGUCUGAAUAUGGGGGGACCAUCCUCCAAGGCUAAAUACUCCUGACUGACCGAUAGUGAACCAGUACCGUGAGGGAAAGGCGAAAAGAACCCCGGCGAGGGGAGUGAAAAAGAACCUGAAACCGUGUACGUACAAGCAGUGGGAGCCUCUUUAUGGGGUGACUGCGUACCUUUUGUAUAAUGGGUCAGCGACUUAUAUUCUGUAGCAAGGUUAACCGAAUAGGGGAGCCGAAGGGAAACCGAGUCUUAACUGGGCGUUAAGUUGCAGGGUAUAGACCCGAAACCCGGUGAUCUAGCCAUGGGCAGGUUGAAGGUUGGGUAACACUAACUGGAGGACCGAACCGACUAAUGUUGAAAAAUUAGCGGAUGACUUGUGGCUGGGGGUGAAAGGCCAAUCAAACCGGGAGAUAGCUGGUUCUCCCCGAAAGCUAUUUAGGUAGCGCCUCGUGAAUUCAUCUCCGGGGGUAGAGCACUGUUUCGGCAAGGGGGUCAUCCCGACUUACCAACCCGAUGCAAACUGCGAAUACCGGAGAAUGUUAUCACGGGAGACACACGGCGGGUGCUAACGUCCGUCGUGAAGAGGGAAACAACCCAGACCGCCAGCUAAGGUCCCAAAGUCAUGGUUAAGUGGGAAACGAUGUGGGAAGGCCCAGACAGCCAGGAUGUUGGCUUAGAAGCAGCCAUCAUUUAAAGAAAGCGUAAUAGCUCACUGGUCGAGUCGGCCUGCGCGGAAGAUGUAACGGGGCUAAACCAUGCACCGAAGCUGCGGCAGCGACACUAUGUGUUGUUGGGUAGGGGAGCG
rnacentral:rRNA from 1 species